AGCGAACGCUGGCGGCGUGCCUAACACAUGCAAGUCGAACGUGAAAGGGAGCAAUCCCAAGUAAAGUGGCGUACGGGUGAGUAACACGUAGGUAAUCUACCCCAGAAUCUGGAAUAACCGGCCGAAAGGCUGGCUAAUACUGGAUAGAGCGAGGGAACCCGUAAUUGGGUUUUUCGGGAAAGGGAGCCUGUAAAAAGGCCUUCGUCCUGGGUUAAGCCUGCGUCCCAUCAGCUAGUUGGUGAGGUAAAAGCUUACCAAGGCAAUGACGGGUAGCUGGUCGGAGAGGACGGUCAGCCACACUGGGACUGAAACCGGGUCCAGACGCCUACGGGAGGCAGCAGUGGGGAUUCUUGCGCAAUGGGCGAAAGUCUGACGCAGCAACGCCGCGUGAGUGAAGAAGGCCGUCGGGUUGUAAAGCUCUGUCGAGUGGGACGAAAAUGCUUGGAGUUCACAGCUACAGGAACUGACGGUACCACUAAAGGAAGCACCGGCUAACUCCGUG
rnacentral:rRNA from 1 species